AACGAACGCUGGCGGCAUGCCUAACACACGCAAGUCGAACGAGACCUUCGGGUCUAGUGGCGCACGGGUGCGUAACGCGUGGGAAUCUGCCCUUGGGUUCGGAAUAACAGUUAGAAAUGACUGCUAAUACCGGAUGAUGACUUCGGUCCAAAGAUUUAUCGCCCAGGGAUGAGCCCGCGUCGGAUUAGCUAGUUGGUGGGGUAAAAGCCUACCAAGGCGACGAUCCGUAGCUGGUCUGAGAGGGUGAUCAGCCACACUGGGACUGAGACACGGCCCAGACUCCUACGGGAGGCAGCAGUGGGGAAUAUUGGACAAUGGGCGAAAGCCUGAUCCAGCAAUGCCGCGUGAGUGAUGAAGGCCUUAGGGUUGUAAAGCUCUUUUACCCGGGAUGAUAAUGACAGUACCGGGAGAAUAAGCCCCGGCUAACUCCGUGCCAGCCGCCGCCGUAACAC
rnacentral:rRNA from 1 species